AGUGAACGCUGGCGGUAGGCCUAACACAUGCAAGUCGAACGGCAGCACAGUAAGAGCUUGCUCUUACGGGUGGCGAGUGGCGGACGGGUGAGGAAUACAUCGGAAUCUACUUUUUCGUGGGGGAUAACGUAGGGAAACUUACGCUAAUACCGCAUACGGCCUACGGGUGAAAGCAGGGGAUCUUCGGACCUUGCGCGAUUGAAUGAGCCGAUGUCGGAUUAGCUAGUUGGCGGGGUAAAGGCCCACCAAGGCGACGAUCCGUAGCUGGUCUGAGAGGAUGAUCAGCCACAUUGGAACUGAGACACGGUCCAGACUCCGACGGGAGGCAGCAGUGGAGAAUAUUGGACGAUGGGCGCAAGCCUGAUCCAGGCAUACCGCGUGGGUGAAGAAGGCCUUCGGGUUGGAAAGCCCUUUUGUUGUGAAAGAAAAGCAGCAGGUUAAUACCCCGCUGUUCUGACGGUACCCAAAGAAUAAGCACCGGCUAACUUCGUG
rnacentral:rRNA from 1 species